rnacentral:rRNA from 1 species
CCUACGGGUGGCAGCAGUGGGGGAUAUUGCACAAUGGGGGGAACCCUGAUGCAGCGACGCCGCGUGGGUGAAGGAGUGCUUCGGCAUGUAAAGCCCUAUCGGCAGGGAAGAAGCACGACGGUACCUGACUCAGCAGCCCCGGCUAACUACGUGCCAGCAGCCGCGGUAAUACGUAGGGGGCGAGCGUUAUCCGGAUUUAUUGGGUUUAAAGGGUGCGUAGGCGGGCAUUUAAGCCGGCGGUCAAAUGUCGGGGCUCAACCCCGGCCUGCCGUCGGAACUGGGUGCCUUGAGUGGGCGAGAAGUAUGCGGAAUGCGUGGUGUAGCGGUGAAAUGCAUAGAUAUCACGCAGAACCCCGAUUGCGAAGGCAGCAUACCGGAGCCCGACUGACGCUGAGGCACGAAAGUGCGGGUAUCGAACAGGAUUAGAUACCCCGGUAGUC